GAAAAACACAAGUACUUUCAGAAAUUAAUCAAAACUUGACAAAAACACAGAGAACAAAAUAAACAGAACUGAUCACAAGCGAGGCUAAAUAUAUUGAUUUAUUCACCUUUCAAUGAUGCAAGCAAAGGCGUACAUAUAUUUCUAUGUCCGGCGUGGGUAGCAGACUUUCCCAUUUGGCGGCAGAAGAGUAAAGUAAUCUAAGGUGCAACUCGUUUGAAGUAAAGAGUAACCGCGAGUUCAGAACUCCAACCACCAAGGGGAAAAUUUUGAACCAAAUGUCCCCCGCUCAUGCAAAAAGAUUCGGUAUUUGUUUAGGCCAUAGAUAAGAAUAGAAUAAGAAUCUUGGAAACAAUAUUUGAAAAAAAAAAAAUUUAAAUUCAGACCUCAA